rnacentral:lncRNA from 1 species
ACAUAUUUCUUAACUAGAUGACUCAAUAUAAGAUAUGACAAUAAUUGAAUGUUGAGUCACUUUACUCAAGAGAUUGCCUAAAUAUAAGCAAGCACAUGUCACUUGAACUAAAGAGAUAGUUUCAUUAACCAAGAUGGUUCAAGGACAAGCAUGUGAGGCAAUAGGAAGAUUCAUCAAGGUCAAAUCAAAAAAUUUUUUUUUUGUUUUUAGAAUCAAUUUAGCUUAGAUUCUAUUUGCUUAAGAUAAUUAUCAACAAGACAUGCUAGCUAAGUUUUAAUCAACUUAUCUUAAACAAUUGUUUCUAUCAAAAUUCAGAUUAUGAUUUAUUUGUUAUCAAUAAAUAUGAUUCAUUAAAGUUAGAUUGAAGUCUUGCACAAGGGCACAUAAUGAGCAUAUAAUCUAGUCUACUAACUGUACGAUAAAAUACUUAUUCUAUCAUGCUUCAAUAUAGCUUUAAAACAAUAGAUCUACUUUGCUCAUCCUUUUCAAAUUCUACAAGAUGGGGUCAUAGACAUACCUUCUUCAUGCCAAUCUUCUAUAAGAGUUUUCUUGUGGACUAACUUUGGUCAAUGAAGAUCCCCUUUCUUGUUUGUCUUAAUUUGGAGUUCAAGAAAAAAUGUUAAUUCAUUCAUUAUACAUAUUUCAAACUCACUUUGCAUGAGCUUAGUAAAAUCUCCAUAUAAAUCUUCAUUAGUAGAACCAAAAAGGAUGCCAUCAAUGUAUGNN